CGGUCCCAAGGGUUGGGCUGUUCGCCCAUUAAAGCGGUACGCGAGCUGGGUUAGAACGUCGUGAGACAGUUCGGUCCCUAUCCGCUGUGCGCGUAGGAGUCUUGAGAAGGGCUGUCCCUAGUACGAGAGGACCGGGACGGACGAACCUCUGGUGUGCCAGUUGUUCUGCCAAGGGCAUGGCUGGUUGGCUACGUUCGGGAGGGAUAACCGCUGAAAGCAUCUAAGCGGGAAGCCUGCUUCGAGAUGAGGGCUCCCACCCACUUGAUGGGGUAAGGCUCCCAGUAGACGACUGGGUUGAUAGGCCGGAUAUGGAAGCACGGUAACGUGUGGAGUUGACCGGUACUAAUAGGCCGAGGGCUUGUCCUCAGUUG
rnacentral:rRNA from 1 species